GAAAUGCGAUAAGUAAUGUGAAUUGCAGAAUUCAGUGAAUCAUCGAAUCUUUGAACGCACAUUGCGCCCGCCAGUAUUCUGGCGGGCAUGCCUGUUCGAGCGUCAUUUCAACCAUCGAGCCCCCGGCUUGUGUUGGGGACCUGCGGCUGCCCGCAGGCCCUGAAAACCAGUGGCGGGCUCGCUGUCACACCGAGCGUAGUAGCAUACAUCUCGCUCAGGGCGUGCUGCGGGUUCCGGCCGUUAAAAGCCUUUUUUACCCAAGGUUGACCUCGGAUCAGGUAGGAAGACCCGCUGAACUUAAGC
rnacentral:misc_RNA from 1 species